CCAAUAUGUUUGGGGAAUCUAAGUGAAGAUAUCGCUCAGGACGACGCCUUUUUAGACGGCUUGUUUGGUCUUGCCCUUGAUAGUCCGCAGACUUCAAUCCCUAGAAGAUUAGGUUUGAA